rnacentral:rRNA from 1 species
AUGGUUCAGAAAUCGUCAAGUUGUCCAGCGCAGUUUUGGAAUCACAUCGUGUUGACAUUUUUGGAAAUUAUAUAUCAUUGGCUGCCUUCUCUUAUAAUACCGCUCCAAAUUGCCUAUCAGCCUAUAAUAUUUGGCCAGAAUGCUACUAGGGGGCAGACCCUAUAUCUAUUUGAUUUCAGAUUCGAAACCCCAACAGUUACUAAAGGAAUCGUGAACUUUGCCGAUGAACUUCACUUUCUAUUGGGUGCUAAGGCUGAUCUUCUCUAUUAUUCUGGAGCUCUUGUAUUCGAUGAAAAUUGCAAGCUUGUUGGCAUAGUAUUUGAUCAUGAAGACAGUCUACUAUGUGUCCAGGUCAAUCACUUAAGGAAAUUGCUUUUGGACUUCUUUCCAGGGACAAAGUCUAUGGAUGGCUUUUAUCGGAAAUUAAAUGCUGCAAAGGACUUUGUGAUAUAG